CUUUCUUUUAAUAAUGUGCGUGCAACAUGUCAGUUGAUACUCAUGCUUACCUGAACACUUGUCACUGUGUAGAUCUUCUUCAGAUUGGAUUCGCAUUCUGCUGCUGUUGUGCCAGGCAAUGACCUAGAUCAAGAUAUAAAUGAUGGCCAAGCACACAUUUCGAUGGAGCAGUUUGUUUUGACUCACCCCUGUGAUGACGGCCGAAGACCCGAGAGACACCCAGAGCAGAAAGAAGAGCGGUAGAAAGAAAGAUUUCAUGAUGAAGAGGCGUCUCAGUUCCCUUCAAGCUGACAAGACGAGUCAGACUUUGCCCCACCUGCAUGUGUGACUGGUGAAAGAGAGAAACCACCUUUAUAAACCCGACCAGCCAUUCAGAAUCAUUGUGACUCAUCAGCAUAGCUUUUCAGAAGCAAAAUAAAUAAAUAUAUAAAAACAA